GAUGAGGUGCUUUUUGUAGAACGAGCCAACGAGUUACGGUAUGUAGCAAGGUUAAGUACUUAAGGUACGGAGCCGAAGGGAAACCGAGUCUGAAUAGGGCGACUAGUUGCAUGCCGUAGACCCGAAACCGGGUGACCUAUCCAUGGCCAGGUUGAAGCGAGGGUAAAACCUCGUGGAGGACCGAACCACGUUGCUGUUGAAAAAGCAUGGGAUGAGCUGUGGAUAGCGGAGAAAUUCCAAUCGAACCCGGAGAUAGCUGGUUCUCUCCGAAAUAGCUUUAGGGCUAGCGUCGAGUAUGAGUAGUGGAGGUAGAGCACUGAAUGGGCUAGGGGGCAUAGCGCUUACCGAACCUUAUCAAACUCCGAAUGCCACAUACUUUGAGCUCGGCAGUCAGACUACGAAUGAUAAGAUCCGUGGUCAAAAGGGAAACAGCCCAGAUCGUCAGCUAAGGUCCCAAAGUGUAAGUUAAGUGGGAAAGGAUGUGAGAUUUCUAAGACAACUAGGAUGUUGGCUUAGAAGCAGCCAUUCAUUAAAAGAGUGCGUAAUAGCUCACUAGUCGAGAGAUCUUGCGCCGAAAAUGUAACGGGGCUAAACUUACC
rnacentral:rRNA from 1 species